AGAGUUUGAUCCUGGCUCAGGAUGAACGCUAGCGGCAGGCUUAAUACAUGCAAGUCGAGGGGCAGCGCAGUGUAGCAAUACAUGGGCGGCGACCGGCAAACGGGUGCGGAACACGUACAGAACCUUCCUUCGAGCGGGGAAUAGCCCAGAGAAAUUUGGAUUAAUACCCCAUAGUAUAUCGGAGUGGCAUCACUUUGAUAUUAAAGAUUUAUCACUUGAAGAUGGCUGUGCGGCUGAUUAGGUAGUUGGCGGGGUAACGGCCCACCAAGCCUGCGAUCAGUAACUGGUGUGAGAGCACGACCAGUCACACGGGCACUGAGACACGGGCCCGACUCCUACGGGAGGCAGCAGUAAGGAAUAUUGGUCAAUGGACGCAAGUCUGAACCAGCCAUGCCGCGUGGAGGAUGAAGGUCCUCUGGAUUGUAAACUUCUUUUAUCUGGGACGAAAAAGGGUCUUUCUAGAUCAACUGACGGUACCAGAUGAAUAAGCACCGGCUAACUCCGUGCCAGCAGCCGCGGUAAUACGGAGGGUGCAAGCGUUAUCCGGAUUCACUGGGUUUAAAGGGUGCGUAGGUGGGUUGGUAAGUCAGUGGUGAAAUCCCCGAGCUUAACUUGGGAACUGCCAUUGAUACUAUCAGUCUUGAAUAUUGUGGAGGUUAGCGGAAUAUGUCAUGUAGCGGUGAAAUGCUUAGAUAUGACAUAGAACACCAAUUGCGAAGGCAGCUGGCUACGCAUAUAUUGACACUGAGGCACGAAAGCGUGGGGAUCAAACAGGAUUAGAUACCCUGGUAGUCCACGCC
rnacentral:rRNA from 1 species